GGCGUGGUUGCAGGGUGAUGGCUCUGGUAGUCUGUCGACCACAUCGCCUCUGCAUAUUUACAACGAUAUCGAAGGGUUCUGAUAAUUCUAAUGCCGAUUGGUACAUCUCAUUCAAACUGAUGAACCGUACACUGUAAAAUGUGCUCCAAAACUACAUGUUAUAUUGAGUAUUACAAAUUCAAAUCCUGAUAGAUACAAGUCACUGUCCGAUUAUGUCAUAAUCUCCAAUAAAAGUUUUAUUUUGAAACCAAAUGCCGUUAUUUAAUGAUAUUUCAUCAAUUAAAAAAGUGACAACAUAGGUGUUUCUUUUAACAUUCAAUUUAUAAAUUCUUAUUUUGACAUUUUUUUAAUUUU
rnacentral:lncRNA from 1 species